UGUGUUUUUUUUUCUGUGGAC
rnacentral:piRNA from 1 species